CAAAGUUGGAGCAGAGAGGACUUCUUCAUCAGAUAAGGGGUACGAAGGAAGACACGUAUCUUUGAUUUUCCCUGGGCAAUGGAUGUGAUCUCCUAUGAGCGCUGACACAGGAGGCCCCGAAGAACGCAGCAGUAUCUUCACCAGAAGUACUUUCCAUCUCAAGAAACCACUUUUUUUGGUGCUCAUUCAUAAGAAGCAACUCGUCUGUUCAAGUGUUAUCAUGAGAUGGCAGCAAUUUAAUCACAUCUUCAGGCUCCGCUUCUAAUUCUAGUUUCAUUGCUAUUUGUACCACAUCCGCGGUGACUCCUCCACUGAAGUCUUGAACCCCUCAAAGUCAUCCAUAAGGGUUGAAAUCAACUUCUUCCUAACUCCUGUUAAUGUUGACAUUUUGACUUCCUUCUCUGAGUCACGAAUGUUCUUAAUGACAUCUAGAAUGGUGAAUCCUUUCCAGGAGGUUUUCAAUUGACUUUGUCCAGAUCCAUCAGAGGAAUCACUAUAUAUGACAGCUAUAGCCUUACAAAAUGUAUUUCUUAAAUAAUGAUACUUGAAAGCAAAAUUACUAAGGCCAGGUACGGUGGCUCACACCUGUAAUACCAG
rnacentral:lncRNA from 10 species